rnacentral:ncRNA from 2 species
UAUAUAAGAAGCGAACAAGGUGCCCUUGCAGCAGCAAGGGGUAACAGGGAAUCGGGUGCAACUCCCGAGCGGUCCCGCCACUGUAAGAAAGAGUCAUGCUCCAGUAUGUCACUCGGAUCUUCUCCGGGGAAGACGGAGCAGGGCGUUAGUAUUUCGAGCCAGGAGACCUACCUUGCAAGCGCACACCAC